GAGAACGAAACCAAUGCUGUAGAUGAUUUACAUAGCCGAUAAAGACAAGAAAUGCAAUUUUGUAAUGUUUCCCUUUGAUGUUUUCCCAUCCCAUACACAGGACGAGUGGUGUUUCGUUGGGCUCCAGCAGUGUUAGAACAAUUCAGGAUGCAGUUUCUCUGCCCCCUUUCAGCAACAGCUGCGCUGAGAAAAAUGGAGACAACUUGAUUUUAACAGAUGUCAAGGAUGGUUAGGACAAUAGCCAAGACAUUCGAUGGAGAUCAACUUCCAUACAAAUUUGCCUGCUCGUUGAGAUCUGUGUCCCAUCUCCUUCUGAGAUUUACUCUCCCCCUCCUGUGUGGUUUUGCACCAAUGAAGCAUCGUGUCCAAGUUGUGUUGGCUGAAACGUUUCUUUGCUGCAUUUUAAGGUGCUACUGACUCCUCUCGGCAAGCACCCCGGCCCCUUCCCAUGGAAACUCAGCCCGGAAAAGAAGCUACUCUUCCCCCAAUAUUCGAGGACAAGCAGGAUUUCUCCAGAACAAGGCAGGAUCAUCAGGUUUCAGAGAAGGGAAUUUUGCUGAAGCUAUUUUAAAACCCCCAAUGGCUUAUGCUUUUGCCUCCAUUGUUACCAAUGAUAAAUAAAUACAAGGGAGAGAAGAGAA